GGCCGCGGGAUUAGAGUUUGAUCCUGGCUCAGCCUGAACGCUGGCGGCGUGGCUAAGACAUGCAAGUCGUACGGGUGUAGCAAUACACCAGUGGCGGACGGGUGAGUAAUGUAUCGCUAACGUACCCCAGAGUCUGGGAUAGCUGCCCGAAAGGGCAGGUAAUACCAGAUGACAUAUUCUUGCUGCAUGGCGAGAAUCUCAAAGGGAAACCGUUCUGGGAGCGGGCGAUAUCGUAUCAGCUAGUUGGUAGGGUAACGGCCUACCAAGGCGACGACGCGUAGCCGGACUGAGAGGUUGGCCGGCCACAUUGGGACUGAGACACUGCCCAGACUCCUACGGGGGGCUGCAGUAACGAAUCUUCCGCAAUGCACGCAAGUGUGACGGAGCGACGCCGCGUGUGGGACUAAGUCCUUCGGGAUGUAAACCACUGUCAGGGGUUAGAAAGUUCUGAUCAACCCCAGAGGAAGGCACGGCUAACUCUGUGCCAGCAGCCGCGGUAAGACAGAGGUGCCAAGCGUUAGGCGGAAUCACUGGGCUUAAAGCGUGUGUAGGUGGACUGGUAAGUACCUUGUGAAAUCCCAUGGCUCAACCAUGGAACUGCUGGGUAUACUGCUGGUCUUGAGCCAUCUAGGGGUCAGUGGAACAAAUGGUGGAGCGGUGAAAUGCGUAGAUAUCAUUUGGAACGCCAAUGGUGAAAACAACUGACUGGGGAUGUGCUGACACUGAGACACGAAAGCUAGGGGAGCAAACGGGAUUAGAUACCCCGGUAGUCCUAGCCGUAAACGAUGUCCACUAGAUCGCAGUGCCUCUGACGGUAUUGCGGUCGAAGCAAAAGUGC
rnacentral:rRNA from 1 species